UGGGUAUUUUGUAGGCCGGCGAGGUGUUCUUUUCUCUGGCCCGAUUGUCAAGCUAGCGCCUUACUCGAGCAAGUUUGAUCGUUUGGCCGUGAUUUGGCUCUGCGAGUCUUGCAGCUUUCGUGUGGCUAACUUGGUGCACGAACCGGUGCCCCGUAUCAAUUUCGUCAACAUCGUUGUGACUGCGCUUGCUCGAUCGACAGACGUCGCAGGCUGCAGUGCGCCGCUUGUCUUGCCGCAACAGCCGCCGCAGUCGGGAUUCGAUCCCGCGACCUGCGGGUCAGCAGUCGAGUACCUUAGCCACUAGACCACCGCGGCGGAUCGAGUCAUCACAUGGAAAACACAUCAGUAUCAGUGAAUGUUACAGUGGUACCUUGUUCUGAAAAAUGCAUCACAGCAGCACCAUUGGAAGAUGAGGUAUCACCUUGGCCCAAACAAGAUUAAUUCAUAUAGAUGAGGCAAUAAAGACGUAUAGCAAAUUUCAACACUG